CCUACGGGGGGCUGCAGUGGGGAAUAUUGGACAAUGGGGGGAACCCUGAUCCAGCCAUGCCGCGUGUGUGAAGAAGGCCCUCGGGUUGUAAAGCACUUUCAGUGAGGAAGAACUCCUGGUGGUGAAUACCCAUCAGGAAAGACAUCACUCACAGAAGAAGCACCGGCUAACUCCGUGCCAGCAGCCGCGGUAAUACGGAGGGUGCGAGCGUUAAUCGGAAUUACUGGGCGUAAAGCGCGCGUAGGUGGCUUGAUAAGCCGGUUGUGAAAGCCCCGGGCUCAACCUGGGAACGGCAUCCGGAACUGUCAAGCUAGAGUGCAGGAGAGGAAGGUAGAAUUCCCGGUGUAGCGGUGAAAUGCGUAGAGAUCGGGAGGAAUACCAGUGGCGAAGGCGGCCUUCUGGACUGACACUGACACUGAGGUGCGAAAGCGUGGGUAGCAAACAGGAUUAGAUACCCGUGUAGUC
rnacentral:rRNA from 1 species